GCCGGGUGUGGUGGCGCACGCCUGUAGUUCCAGCUACUCAGAAGGCUGAGGUGGGAGGAUCACCUGAGUCUGGGAGAUCAAGGUUGCAGUGAGCCAUGAUCAUGCUACUGCACGCCAGCCUGGACAACAGGGUGAGACCCCAUCUCAA
ensembl:misc_RNA Metazoa_SRP Metazoan signal recognition particle RNA